UGGGCGUAAAGAGCUCGUAGGCGGCUUGGUAAGUCGGAUGUGAAACCUCCAGGCUCAACCUGGAGUCGCCAUCCGAUACUGCCAUGGCUAGAGUCCGGUAGGGGACCACGGAAUUCCUGGUGUAGCGGUGAAAUGCGCAGAUAUCAGGAGGAACACCGGUGGCGAAGGCGGUGGUCUGGGCCGGAACUGACGCUGAGGAGCGAAAGCGUGGGGAGCGAACAGGAUUAGAUACCCUGGUAGUCCACGCCGUAAACGUUGGGCACUAGGUGUGGGGCCUUAUUCAACGGGUUCCGUGCCGUAGCUAACGCAUUAAGUGCCCCGCCUGGGGAGUACGGCCGCAAGGCUAAAAC
rnacentral:rRNA from 1 species